rnacentral:rRNA from 1 species
AACGUAGGAGGCAAGCGUUAUCCGGAUUUACUGGGCGUAAAGCGCGUGCAGGCGGUUUGGAAAGUUGGAUGUGAAAGCUCCUGGCUCAACUAGGAGAGGUCGUUCAAAACUUCCAGACUUGAGGGCAGUAGAGGGAGGUGGAAUUCCGUGUGUAGUGGUGAAAUGCGUAGAUAUACGGAGGAACACCAGUGGCGAAAGCGACCUCCUGGGCUGCAUCUGACGCUCAGACGCGAAAGCUAGGGGAGCAAACGGGAUUAGAGACCCCGGUAGUCCUAGCUGUAAACGAUGUGAACUUGGCGUUGGUGGGUUUAAAUCCAUCAGUGCCGUAGCAAACGCGAUAAGUUCACCGCCUGGGGACUACGGCCGCAAGGUUAAA